GAUGAACGCUGGCGGCGUGCCUAAUACAUGCAAGUCGAGCGAACAGACGAGGAGCUUGCUCCUCUGACGUUAGCGGCGGACGGGUGAGUAACACGUGGAUAACCUACCUAUAAGACUGGGAUAACUUCGGGAAACCGGAGCUAAUACCGGAUAAUAUAUUGAACCGCAUGGUUCAAUAGUGAAAGACGGUUUUGCUGUCACUUAUAGAUGGAUCCGCGCCGCAUUAGCUAGUUGGUAAGGUAACGGCUUACCAAGGCAACGAUGCGUAGCCGACCUGAGAGGGUGAUCGCCCACACUGGAACUGAGACACGGUCCAGACGACUACGGGAGGCAGCAGAAGGGAAUCUUACGCAAUGGGCGAAAGCCUGACGGAACAACGCCGCGUGAGUGAUGAAGGUCUUCGGAUCGUAAAACUCUGUUAUUAGGGAAGAACAAAUGUGUAAGUAACUAUGCACGUCUUGACGGUACCUAAUCAGAAAGCCACGGCUAACUACGUG
rnacentral:rRNA from 1 species